UGGGGAAUCUUGCGCAAUGGACGAAAGUCUGACGCGGCGACGCCGCGUGUGGGAGGAAGCUCUUCGGGGUGUAAACCACUGUCAGGAGGGAAGAACGGCGCCGGUUCGAACAGUUCCGGCGAUUGACGGUACCUCCAAAGGAAGCGCCGGCUAACUCCGUGCCAGCAGCCGCGGUAAGACGGAGGGCGCAAGCGUUGUUCGGAAUUACUGGGCGUAAAGCGCGUGUAGGUGGUCGAGUAAGUCGAAUGUGAAAGCCCCGGGCUCAACCCGGGAAGUGCAUCCGAAACUGCUCGACUAGAGUCCCGGAGAGGAAGGCAGAAUUCCCAAUGUGGGGGUGAAAUCCGUAGAUAUUGGGAGGAAUACCGGUGGCGAAGGCGGCCUUCUGGACGGUGACUGACACUCAGACGCGAAAGCGUGGGGAGCAAACAGGAUUAGAUACCCCGGUAGUCCCUGAGCGGGCUGGCAAGGCGCAU
rnacentral:rRNA from 1 species